AGGUCAUUUCAAAAAGGGCUCGUGGGUUAUAAAUCCAGGAGCUCUUAAUGCUUUGAAGUUUUCCAUAGGAUGUCAUAGUCACUCCAUAGUGCUAUAUUUUCUUGAGGAGCUAUAAGA